ACUGCUGCUCGUCAUAUGCUGCCGGUACCACCGCUGAUGCUCAUCCUAUGCUGUGUUUCGCUAAGAAAUAAUGCAUACACCGCUGAUGUUACAUUGUUUUCAAAGUUAAACCCAGUUUUCAUUUCUAAAGUAUUGGCAAGACUGAAUCAAGGAACAGUGUCCAAGUCGUCCACUACUAAACCCCCUGAUGUACAACUAGAGAAUGUGACUAUUGUGAGACCAGCAAAAGAGACACAUGUGGAAGUUGUACAGCUGCCCACGACAUUUCCAGCAGAGCACAACCCGAAAACUAUAGACCUAGAGCAAGAUGGACAUACCAGAUCACUUGAUGAAAGCCUGAAUCCUGAACGGAUUACAGCACCAGCUGAUGAAAAGGGGAGCAUGUCUGAGCAGAAAAUCUACACCGUGAGUCUUCCGCCUGAUGACUAUGCAUCAGCUGUUCUAAUGGAUGUCAAGUCUUCCCCAACAGAAGAGUCUGAUCUUAGUGAUGAUGCACAAGCGCACCCAGUGGAGAAACGUAGAAGACGCAGACGGAAGAGGAAAGUGAAUGUUAUGACUCAGUGUACCUCUGAUGUUGCCAACAGUUUGCAGCAAUCAAAGCAUCAGCCCCAGUCAUUUGAACGUGUGGCUAUCAAUAAAAACAAAAGAAGGAAAUUGCAGCGAAAGAGACAGAAAGAAAGGCUGAAGGCUGCAGGCCUAUGGACGAAAGCUAAAGCUGGAGCAGGCCAAGCGCAAACUGAUGAAGUUAAGCAUUGUGAUGAACAGACAGAGGAAGAAAUACAGAGCAAAACAAAGGACUUGCUAGAUUUCCUUCAAGCAACUCAAGAGAUUUAUUUCACUGAGGGCAAAUCUACAUGUGCAGAGUCUGUUUUUUCCCCUGAGCUGAUUGAGGAGAUUCUGGACCAGAUCAAGAAUGGCACAACUCCUCUCUCUGACCUCCAGAGCUUGCAUCAUCUCAAGAGACUUCUUCUCCUACAGGAUAUUGAAAGAUUAAAAUAUGCAUUGCACAGCUUCAAAGAACAUUCCUCUAUGCCUCUCGCAACUACUAUCAAAAGUUUUAUGUGAACAUGGUUUUGUGCUACCGACGAAUUACCCCUGGAUACAUCAGAUUAUUGCAGAUCCAGACUGCCAGGAAAAUAAUGGUAAACGGAACGGACACAUUUAUGGGGCGAGCAGCGUUUUUGUGUGGUGUUG